ensembl:lncRNA novel transcript, antisense to FMO1
AGUCCAGCUGAGGGUCCAAGCCCCUUACAGGCUCCCUGCUGAGCCCUGUAAACAGUUGCGACUCGGCAGGGAGCCUGUAAGCACCUGGGACCCUCAGAAUAUCUGUGUGUCAGCGUACUUUAUUCACCGGUCAUUGGGUCAGGGGUCUGCAAGGGACAGACUCCCCACAGCUGGUGACCCCUCGAGAGGAGCCCUGCCCCCAGCUGGUGCCCCAUGUGAGGCGCUGUGUGAGGAACUGUGUGAGGAAUGCUGUGAAGGAAACGCGACGAACCGCCCGAAAACGAAGACAGACAGAACAGCAUGUGGAGACUCACACAGUGAAAUUUUCCUCCAAGAAGUACUGCAUGAACAUACCAGGAAAACCAAAAGAAUUCACAGGACCUUUGAAAGAAGUGGCUUGCCGCUGCAAACUCCAUGAGACAGCUGAAAAACUGUGAGUGCCCAAAGUGGCAAAGCGGCUGAGAUCUUUGAACUCCCUUUGAACUUUGAGAAUGGUGACUGGAAGAUGACAAUUCAUGUUGUUUUCAGGAAAGGGGUACUAACUGGAAGAAAGGAAUGCGAAUGAUUACCAAUCCUGCUGCAAGUGCUUAAAGAAGAUGGAAUCAGAGUGUGGGAACCAGGCUGAACUACAUGACUGACAGUAGAUGACCGCCACUGCCACGGGAUCCACAGGGUCCACAAAGUUUUCUUCCUCUUCUCACUGCCACAUUACCCUCGUCUUUGAAUUUCUUUUGCUGUAAUGCCACACAGAGAACCUGAGCCUCCUGAUCUGCAGCCCAGGACUCUUGCCAAUGUAUCUGAGUUGUUGUUUGAUAGUAUGGAAGGAAAACGGAGCCUGAAGUGUGACACAGGUACUGUGUUAAUAUUUCAUGUAUGUUGUCUCCUUUAAUUUUGCCACUAAUCUCUGAUGUAGGUAUCAUUUUACAAAAGAAGAAAAAAGACUCAGGGGAUAAGCAACUUGCCCAAGAUUACACUGAAAGUAAGUAGCUAAACAGGAACUGGAACCAAGGUCCAUGUUUUUUCCAUUACAUCAUGUUGUCCCCUGAAAUUCCCCUCUGAAGAAUUCCUGUUAAUGCUUGCUAUUCUGCAGCAGAAUCCUCCCAGACCUCACACAUGUACUUCUCUUUUGCCUCAUCUCAUGCGUCAAAACUAUAUCCUAUUCCUUUAAGACCAAGCAGUUGUGGAAAUGGUUAAUAAUUUUCUCAAGGCAUGGGUUGAGCCCAUGCCCCCCGUGCAGCAGAAUUAAUGGGAGACUCCUGGAAACUGCGGUGAUGGCAGGAAUAAGUCUCUGCUUAUGGCAAUUUAGGUACAGUAGUAAACCAAGGGAGACAUUUUUGGUAGAAGUCUUUUAGACUCUUGGACUCUUUUACAUCUAAAAGCUUGACUGGACAAGUUGAAUUGCAUGCAACAAAACUUUCUGUAGUUUUCUUAAAAAUAUAUUACGAUUUCCCUUCUCCCUGCUUAUCUAGAGCAAAGACAAGGAUUGCACAAACAUACCCACCCCAAUCCCACAUCUCCGUCUGCUGAGGUUGUAAAAUAUACCUUCCCAUUCUUUCUUUCUACAUUUAACAAAUUUUGAACUAUAAUAAUCACAGAAAAGUACAGAGGUUAACACCAUAAACAUGUUGUACUCACCACCCAGCUUUUAUCAAAUUUAAUAUUUUGUCAUAUUUUAUUCUCAUAUUUUUAAGAAAUAAAAUAUUUCAGAUGUAUUAGAAGCACCCAGUAUACCUGUCCCAAUCCUAUCCUCUGCCCCCUUGUUCAGAAGUUGCUUUUGCUGAAAUUGUUUCUGAAACAAUUCAGAAAUUUUAUGAAAUUAUUUCUCACUUCUAUGAUUUUUUUGCAUUUUUACUACAUACAUAUAUGUUUACAAACAACAUACUAUUAGAGUGUGCAUUUUUAAACUUUUUAUAAAGGGUGGCACAUCUUUCUACAACAUGUCCUCCCCUCAAAGUUAUGUUUCUAAGUGAAUAAAUGUAGCUGUGUUUCCUUCAUUUUCUAUUUCUGAAUAGUAUUCCAUUGUUUGAACAUGUCACAAUAUGUUUAUUCUCCCAUUGAAGGACAUUUUGUUUGUCUCCAAUAUUUUGUUAUUGCAAACCAUGCUGCAAUUAACAUUUUUGUUCAUGUCUUCCUGUGCACAUGUGUGAGUUUCUCUAACUGUCCAGGAUUGCUAGCCUUAUUUUACCUCUGCUUAACUGAAUGACACUA